rnacentral:rRNA from 23 species
GAGUUUGAUCCUGGCUCAGAUUGAACGCUGGCGGCAUGCCUUACACAUGCAAGUCGAACGGCAGCACGGGAGCUUGCUCCUGGUGGCGAGUGGCGAACGGGUGAGUAAUGCAUCGGAACGUAUCCUGGAGUGGGGGAUAACGUAGCGAAAGUUACGCUAAUACCGCAUAUUCUGUGAGCAGGAAAGCGGGGGACCUUCGGGCCUCGCGCUCUUGGAGCGGCCGAUGUCGGAUUAGCUAGUUGGUGAGGUAAAGGCUCACCAAGGCGACGAUCCGUAGCAGGUCUGAGAGGAUGAUCUGCCACACUGGAACUGAGACACGGUCCAGACUCCUACGGGAGGCAGCAGUGGGAAUUUUGGACAAUGGGGGCAACCCUGAUCCAGCCAUGCCGCGUGAGUGAAGAAGGCCUCGG